rnacentral:tRNA from 1 species
GCUAUCGUAGCUCGGCAAUAGAGGACUGGUGCGUAAAACCAGGGGCCCGGGUUCGAUUCCCGGCGAGGACG